rnacentral:misc_RNA from 1 species
CAAGGUGUGUACAAAGGCUCUAAUAUUCUACCCUACAUACAGAUUCUUGAGCUUGUAUCUGUGCUAACAAUAUAUACAGUACAUGAAGUAAUGGGUGGUUCCUCGUCUACUGCCUUAGUAAAGUACUUGCUAUCCUGCCUCACAUCGCUAGGCUGCUGUCUGUAUCUCUUCUUCAAUGCUCUUGACAUUCAUGUAUGCUUGAGUGCCAUACAAAUUUCAACUCUUAUUUUCAGCAUAAUUGAAGUAGCAUUUGUGUACAGUUCUGGAUCGAAUGAAAUCCUCCAGCUAGACAAACAUAAUUUGUGGAAGGUUCGGGGCAUUCUGUGGAGCAUUGCUCAGCUGUUGUGUUGUCUUCUUGCCAUUCAUGGUGUGAUUCUGCUGUUUGGAGCUCCCAUUUUACAUGGUGUUGUUGAGACCUUUAGCUUGAGCUUGCUGCUUACCGUGCUGUGUUGCGGGCGUGCAUUCGUAUCACUAGGACCCAACGCUCUCAACUGCCUCCUGACUGCCAGACGCAUUGGAGGCGUGAGUGAGGGAGAGGUGCGUGCUGUCCUGGUGCUGCUUGGGGCCUGGCUGGGAGCUCUGCCCAUCCCUCUUGACUGGGACCGACCUUGGCAGACUUGGCCGUUGACGUGCACGAUUGGUUCGUUGCUCGGUGAAGCUUGUGCCAACGUAUACCUUCUACGUUACUGUGGAGACAAACAACAGCUCCUACACUGAGUUGCCACCUUCCUCUACAACGAAAAAUUAACUCUCUACGCCAAGAAAUACUUCACACGUACGGAAGUUCUUGAAGGGCAAGAGUGAAGACGAGUGUGCCCCGCUCUUUGUGCAGUACCAGAAAUGUGUC